rnacentral:lncRNA from 1 species
UGUGCACGUGUCCCAGAGUAGGACGGGCCACGACAGUGGUCGUUGAGGUGUCUGGAGGUAGACACGGGGCCACCCAGGACUAGCCCAGUGGGGAGUGAGUCAGAGUGGCCGAGAGAGUGUCAUGGCAGUAGAUCGGUUUUGUCGAAACGCCGUUGGUCCACCCAAAUGGGAGUGCGAGGCCAUGGGUUCCGUAGUGUGGGUACAAUGUACUAACCUUUGUAGAGUGUAUUUAAACUAUUAAUAGCCGCGUCCUCGGUCAUGGGCAUAAGUUCGUAGUAGGGUACACUAUUGGUUUUUGGUCGAAAUGGAGGAUAAACCUGAAAUAAUUAAGCUGGUUAAUGUGGUUAAGGAUCACGGGCCAGAUGUGGUCGGGUUGUGAUCGCCGUAAGGAUCACGAGCCAAUUGUUGGUUAGGUUGUGAUCGCCAUAAGGAUCACGGGCCAGUUGUUGGUCGGGUUGUGAUCGCCGUAAGGAUCACGGGUUUGUUUCUGUUGGUGAUCAGGAAAUGAGGUGAUCACUAUUGGUAAGAGUGUCCGGGGGACUCAGUGCACAAGUUUGGUUGCAUUGCAUGAGUAAUAUGUUUGCAUGUAAAGAACCAUGGUAGAUCAUGAGAUGGUUGUAUACAGUUAACAUGCUAUGUCUGCAUUUGAUAUGAUUGGUAGUUUAUUGAUGCCAUGCCAUGCUUUGACCGAUAUGAUAGAGAUGCUAUGCUAUGUUUUGAUGUUGCCAUGUUAGAAAUAAAUUUUCUAUGCCAUGUUGUUGCCAUGCUAGUGGAUGCCAUGAUGUUAGUUCGAUUUAUGUCUUUGGGUUGAUAUUAUGCCAUGCUUAGUUUUGAUAUGAGAUAGUUGUUGUAGACGCUUGGUUCUUGCUUUGUCUUCUGCUUGUUUGGAUGCUAUGUAUUUGGUUGUCUUGCAAGUACACUCAAUGUACUGACCUGGCGUGUCAUGCUAGUUUUGUAGGUCGUUCAGUUGUUCCGUCGUGCUAGGGCGUAAUCUUGCCAGUCCUGUGAGUUGUGGAGCCCAGCCAGAGUGUUAUGCUGCCAAGACUUCCGCCGCCAUUUAAGUAGACUUCCGCUGCCAUGUAAAUAGCCUUAGGGCUAUGCCAGAAUAUUAUAUUCAUCACUGAUGUAAUUAUAUACACAUGUAUUUGAUGAAUAUUCUUGUACCUGGAAUGCUGUAUCAUGGACCUAUCGUGCGUCAGGUGUUAUCCUGGGCUGACGUGCGAAGGCCCCCUGCUCCAUGCAGAUCGGGGUGCCACAGGGCUUGGUAUCAGAGCAGCCAGGCUGGGAUAGAUUAUCCUAGCAUUAGAUUACCACCACCAUCAACCCGUAAUAACCCUAAGGGAUUUUACCCAUCCCUGGCAUCCGGCAUGGCCACCGUUAAUCAACAGGCGGCGCAGUCGGGACCGACACGUCCUCACCCCGCUGUCCCCGCCUAGUUAUCCAUGAAACGUGCAGCAAUCCUAUCCUUUCUGGUCGGCCGCACCGCUUUCCCUUCGCCAUUAAGGGAAAGGGGCCACGCCAUGCGGGCCUGUCCCGAGUAGCUGCCUAUAAAUGCCCUUUCCGCUAGCCGUAUCGCUCGCUCCUCAAUCCGCCAUGUGCCUGCAGAGAAGCUUAGCUAGUAGCACCCAAGUCAUGGCUAGCAGCUCCAAAACUCCCACGUAUUACACCCGCACCUAUGCCGUCAACCACCCUGGCUCCCCCCUUCUUGCCGAGAUGCUUACCAAAGCAUUUGGCGGCAAGACUAGCCCCGAUUACCUGGUGUACCAAUCGGCACCCGUCCCUCACCUUCAUCGCUUUGCUGCAAUAGUGCACAUUAGCCUAGGUCCUGCAGGAGAUGUCCAUCCUUUGGUUUUAUAGGGUAGAGCCAUGCCUACCUCUGGUUUAGCCAUUCAAGCCGCUGCUGUGGAGGCCAUUCUUCACCUCCGAACCAACUUCCCGCAUGUCGCCACAAGGCGGGACUUCUGCUUUUUCCCCACUGUGUCAAACACAGUAAUGCAGUCCUCUUCCGUUAGCCAAGGAGAUGAUCCCGCAAUUGCUCGCCUGGUGCAGUAUAUCACUGCUCAGGGGAUGUUGAUUUCAAUGCUCCUUGCCGAGUUUAGAGCCAUGGAUAAUAAUGUGGUACGAGUCGUCAAGGAAGCUUAUCGUGAGGCUCGUAACUUCGCAUCUCAAGCUGUUGGUCCAACGCCAUCCGAACCAGUGCUAUCCUCUCAGCGUGUGCUAUGGCCCAAGCCAAACAUCAUCACCCUCGACAAGUCUCUUCUUCGGAUCCAUCAGCUGCAUUUUCCUGGAGCAAUUUCAGCCCCACCGCCCCAACCCAUAGAAGUGUCAGACGAUGAAGAUGGAGAUUGGCUCAGUCUUCAUCCUCCAGGAGAGUCCCAACAAGGCUAGUCUUCUGCAUGACCUUAGUCACGCAGUUAGUGGUUCCUGCUAGUCGAUCGGUCUGUCGGUUCAUCCCCGAUAUGAGGAUAGAACCAUGUAUCCCGGAAUGAGUAGUUUCGAUUAGCGCGUAGUGCGUUUGUGCUUUGAUGUAUGCUAGUACUGUUGUAACUCGUAUGUUGUGUUAUUUGCUUGCUUACUUUUGUUUGUGUGUUUGUUUUUGCUUGUCUCUCUGCCCAACAGAAAUGUUCGAUAGGGUUGGCAUUGUGUGCUAACAAGAUUUUAAUCAGUACGACACAUACACUAAAAACAACAUUGACUCGCCCUGAGUCUUUAAUAAAAUGCAUGCUGGUGUAGGUAGAUGUAUAUGAGGAGUACAUAUACCCACUAGCAUUAAAACACCUUAGUGUGAUUUGUCUGGUGUUUUUUUUCUGUUGCCUGCUUAUUGCUUCUGUCUAUUUGUUUAUAUUUUACUGCAGACUGCACGCAUACUCGGUUCACCCACGAGUACAAUUAAGCAGUACUCGGGGAAAUGCAAAGUCACAUAUCCCUCUCUAUAUGUGCAUACCCCGUGUGCUAGAUUUUCCAAACCCGGAACCUCGAAGAGACCAUUUUUCUCUAGCCAUUUCUCGUCCCCGAUUCUUUUUCGUGAACCCGAUUGUGUUUCCAGAGAAACACUGCCAGCUUUAUUUCUCGCGAUCCAUUACAACUCCCCGAUACAGAUUUCAACUCCGAUUCUACCUCAACACCUACAUUUCAUGGAGUAAUCCACGAAAUUUUUCCCGUGCCCUAAGCUAAUUCCUGAGUUGGCGUAGCCACCUCACCGGCAUCCGAACCCAUCAUCCACACCAUCACUGCCUUGCGUGGCGCUGCAAGUCGCCACCAUCGUUCCACCGCAGCAUGCGAUUACUCCGCUGGCGCAAAGCAACGAAGGAUCAAUCGUGGCGGAGGACCAACCCGUGCACCAUCUUCUUCCACACCUCGAGCCACCAGCCGCGCGUUGUCUCGAGCCCGCUCGUUCCUUAUGAGUAUCACCAGGAGGAAGGACGAGCCGAUCAGCAUGCCCAGCAGAGCCACUAGGAACAACCGUAGCGCCACCAAGAACACCUCCUCGCCGAAGGAGCUCGGCUCGAUCUCGCUCAAACCGAAGAGGUAGUAGAGUGGCAUUGUGUUUGUGUGUUGGAAGCAGGUCGUGCUGCCGUUUUUAUAGCCCAACCCCAGUGUACGAUGAGCGGAGUCCAGGGAAAUCGCUCGUCGCCCGAUCAUUGGCGUCCAGGAGGCGAAUCCACGAGCAGUGCCGACAAGGUGCUGGCCCGCGACGUGAGUGCUCGCUGCACCAGCGCCGUGCAUGCCGCGCACUACGGUACUAGGGUCCUCAUCGCCCUAGGAGCUAGAUGCGUGCUGCGCCAAGCCGGACGCGAAGUAGCAGCACGGGAGAAGCAGUUAGCCGGAGGUAGAAGAAGGAGGCUGCCAGUGGGCCCUGGACCCACGUGUCAGCAGGUGAGUCCACUGUUCACUGGGUGCAUCUAGCAAUUUUUUCGAGAGUUUGAUCUGGAAUGCCCCUAGCCGUGGAUAUAACCGUGUUUGCCCAUAUCUCUCCCUGGGUGUACCAAUUAUCGGUGCCCCAACUCGUUCAAAUUCAAUUAAAGGGUUAAAUUUCUAACCCAGCAAUUUUUCUCUGGAGUGGAUAUCUUUUCUUUGUGCCGUAACCCUAGGAAUCUCGAGGACGAGAUUCUUUUAAGGGGGGAAGGUUUGUAACAGCCCCAAAAUUGGGUUAUCAAUUUUUGUGCUGUUAUUCCUUCCUGGCACUCAUUUUUUAAAAUCCUUCUCCUGAGUUUUGCUGAUGACUCUGAUAAUUCUUAGUCAUUUCCAUCCUUCCAAAGCUUGCUCACGUCUUUUUCAGUGGGCAAUACCUCAGUUGCAUCAUCUGAAACCUUCUCAAACCCUAAUUCCAUUUUUUUGGAAAUUGAAUAUGCCCUUUGUGAAUUUAAAGGGGCUAUCAUUUUCCUUGAUCUGUUGAUCAUCCUAUCUGUUCCUAGAGACCCUCCUAUCCUUUUCAACCUUGGAUAUGCAAAUUUUUUGCCAAGUCCCAUGCAAUAUUUUUGAAUUAUGAUUUAUUCCUUUUCUUGCCUUUCUGAGGAAUAAAAUCAAGAGGCAUAGCUAGACAUCUCCUAAAUUCAUGUGAAUUUUUGGAGUUGAUAAUUAUGCCUAAUCCAAGCUCUGGAAAUCAUAUUGGCCAUAAUUAAAUAAGGGAAAUUGCCUCUUCUUAUUUAAUACCAAUAUUGCAUUUCUGCCAUUUCCUAAAGGAACUAUUAUUUUUAUAGCAGGGAAAAUUCUCACAUAAAUUGUGGAGCUUGUCCUUGUUAUAUAAUCACUAGUUACACCCUCAUCUCAUGUUCCUCAGUUCAAAAAUUUGGCACAUGAUCCAAUGCAAGUUUCUGCCUUCUCUGAAAUUUUUGCAAAGGAAGUGCCUUAUUCCUAAUUCCAUUUGAUCUGACAUUUGUCAGGGUGAUUAACAUAGAUAAAUAAUCCAAGGAAACCAAGGAUGAGAUCAAUCCAAUCAUCCUAGCUCCCUGUGCAAUUUUCCAAAAUUUGUGACCAGAGUAAUAUUUUGUGAAGGAAGUACCAUCAUAGAGUUUCCAACUGGGAUAAAACUCUUCCAUCUUGUCAAGUAUCCCAAAUAAUUAGCCUUCACCCAAAUUCAGAUCAUUUCAUUGAGUUAUGUGAGCACAUGAGCAAUUCUUGCAUUCUGUCCAUAUUUUCAGGUUGUGAAGCAAGUAUAUUUUAUCUUGCUCCAUUAUGGCUGAACAUAUUUCCAAGCCUUAUACUAUCCAUAUAACCCACCAAACCAAGAGUUUGGCUCAUUUCAUGUAGCCAAUAAUAUCCUAGAAUUUUCCCAAGUUUUUGGUCAGAGCUGAUGCUUGUGAAGCAAGUACCAAUUUGGUGAGUCCAUUUGGUGUGAUCUCUUUACAUCAUCAACAUAUUACCUAAUCAUUAGUAUUUUCCAAGUUAUAGCUCAAUCCAACCCCCCUAGUGAGUGCUUCAUCAUCAUUUGGGUUCUGGACCAGAUUUAGCAGUUGCACUGCAACUAUGCUAAAUAUUUUCCCUAAUGAUCUAAAAACUACCAGGACCGUAUUCCUUGCUACCCUAAGCAUCCUAGACAUCAAUUCUACCAUUUAACCUCUCUGGUUUUACCUCUAGGACUUUGACAAGUUUACUGCAAUAAACUUGUGGAGCUUGAUUUACUCAUCUCACGUUGUAUCUGCCCAAUUAUUUACCAUAGUAACUAUCCAUCUUCGAAGGACUAUGCGGUAGACAUGGUUUAACAUCGAUAAAGUCUCCAGAACGUGCCAUGCCAGCGGUGACCACGAGUGCAGCCUGCCAAAACGGUGGUCUAGCCACUAUUGGCCUUUGCAUUGCUGCUCCGACCGUCCCUGACCUCGCCAUUUAUGUCCUUCAGCUCCGCAUCAUCGUCGCUGUUCGCCUGGACCCCGCUCCCCCUCCGUUUUCUUCUCCGGCGAGCCGAGGCAAAGCUCGAGCAGUGCGUGCCCGUGAGCCCAUCUUCUUCCUCGCCACUGUCUUCUUCCUUCGUUCGUCUCCGAGUGUUCCUCGUCUCCGUGGGCCUCUGGCGCUCGUCAUGACCCCCCUCGUCGCCUUCCCGUGCGUCCCCGUGAGCCUUGGCCGCGCCUGCCGACGCAUGUGCCGUCGCCGACGCGUGACACGCCGCCCACCGCGUGCCACUUCCUCCCCUCCUCCCUCGAGCCCCUCCGCGGCUAUAAGUAGCCAGUCCCGAGCCCCCUCGCAGUCCCCAAGCCUCCCUAGCCUCUUCCCCUGAGCUCUAGGAGCUCCCCAUGCUCUUCCCCAUCGCCAUGGCCGCCGCCUCGGACCUCUCUGGUUCCAGCGACCAGGGCAUCCCCUCGCCGUUCCCCCUCCACCAGCGCCUCCCCCAAGGUCCGGCAAGCCGCCCCGUAGCCUCAGCCCCCUCAUCCCCUCGCCGGAGCGCUCGGAUUCCUAGCGAGCCCUCCUCUCUGCUCCACGCCGAACCCCUCCCUCCAGCCAUCCCCUGCCCUGUCCGAGCUCAUGGAUGGACGCGACACACCCCAGAGAACCUCCCCAGCUCACCGCCCGCCAGUUUCCCUCGCUGGAGCCCCUUGCCCACCGGAGACCGAAGCCCCCUCUGCCGCGGCCCCUGCUGCUCCCUCUCUAGUGCUCUUCGCCGGUGACAGUGACCACCACGGGAUGCUCCUCUCUCUCUCUUGAGCAUGUGGGUAGGUCGGCCGUCGUCUGUGGUGGCCGGAUCCGCCGGCAAUCGCCGUCGGGGCAGCUCGUGCCUCGGCCGGUCGAGCGCCCGAGCAAAAGAAGAAGAAGCCACGGCCAGGUGGGCAGUGACCAGUCCAGCAGGCCCGCCCGCGACCCCACCUGCCAGCGACCCAGGAGCUCGGCCCCGCCUCUGCCCUUUGACCUGGUCAGCGCGAGCGUGGAUAAGUGGAAGCGCCCCCGUUGAAGCCAUUUUCCCAGAUCGAAGACGUAUUCUGAGAAAGACGCGUUCGGUUUAAAACUGCCAGGGACCUGUUUGUAGAAGUAUUUUUAUAGAUUAGACCCUGAGUUUUAAACGUCCAUAUCUUUUUACUCAUAACUCCGAUUGAGGUAAAUCCAAUGCCCACGUCUUCGUCUCGUCGAGCCCGUUCUGAUGAGAUCAUUUUCACUAUGGUUUGACACUAUGAAAAUGACCACUUUGCCCUUGUGCGUAAACAACCCCCUCCGAGAGAGAACUGUUUCCGGCAAUUUUUCCGCGGUCGUUUCUCACUUCUUCCCGGAGUAUUUGGCAACCCCCAGGCAAGCCAACCUCUUAUCAUGAGCCCCGAACUUGCAUGUUGACUUUGCUUGCACCUCGUGUGUGUGUAGUUGCAGUUAUUUCUUAUUGUUUUCAUGUGUAGUUACUUCAUUAUGCUUAUCAUGCCUGUGUGUUCAUAAUAUAUUUUGCCAUGAUAAUUAGAAUGUUGUUACUGAUGAUGCCAUGUUACUACUCUACUUUAUUUUCAUGUCAUUGUUAUAUAAUGCUGUGAUGAUGGUAAUGUACCGUGGAUAUGUUAGUACUUGGUAUUGUCAGGUUCUUUAUGCUGUAAGUGUUCACUUGAGAAGCUCGAUGUUUUGUUAAGGCAUUUGUAUGAUGUAUGCUCAUUGUUGCAUUCAUGUUAGAAUGCUGGUAUGAUGAUUGAUGAUGGAGAAGAUAAUAACAUGACUUAAUAACAAAACCCCUCCGUCAUCGAUGGGAUCGAGUCAUAGUGUCGCCAAAUCGAACUUUUUGCAGUGCAACCACAUUUGUCGGUAUGGGACGGCCCUAAUGCGGUCUAUUGUCGUGCCUCUGGUCGGUGCCUCCAACUAGGGAAGGUUAUGGGCGCGCGCUACCAUGAUCAGUUAGGCGGAGCAUAACCUUGUGAGCCCGUUGUUGUUGUGAUGUGCACGUGUCCUAGAGUGGGACAGGCCACGACGGUGGUCGUUGAGGUGUCUGGAGGUAGACACGGGGCCACCCAGGACUAGCCCAGUGGGGAGUGAGUCGGAGUGGCCGGGAGAGUGUCAUGGCAGUAGAUCGGUUUUGUCGGAACGCCGUUGGUUCACCCGAAUGGGAGUGCGAGGCCAUGGGUUCCGUAGUGUGGGUACAGUGUACUAACCUCUGCAGAGUGUAUUUAAACUAUUGAUAGCCGCGUCCUCGGUCAUGGGCAUAAGUUCAUAGUAGGGUACACUAUCGGUUCUUGGUCAAAAUGGAGGAUAAACCUGAAAUAAUUAAGCUGGUUAAUGUGGUUAAGGAUCACGGGCCAGAUGUGGUCGGGUUGUGAUCGCCGUAAGGAUCACGGGCCAGUUGUUGGUCGGGUUGUGAUCGCCGUAAGGAUCACGGGCCAGUUGUUGGUCGGGUUGUGAUCGCCGUAAGGAUCACGGGUUUGUUUCUGUUGGUGAUCAGGAAAUGAGGUGACCACCGUUGGUAAGAGAGUCCGAGGGACUUAGUGCACAAGUUUAGUUGCAUUGCAUGAGUAAUAUGUUUGCAUGUAAAGAACCAUGGUAGAUCAUGAGAUGGUUGCAUACAGUUAACAUGCUAUGUCUGCAUUUGAUAUGAUUGGUAGUUUAUUGAUGCCAUGCCAUGCUUUGACUGAUAUGAUAG